rnacentral:rRNA from 1 species
CCUACGGGUGGCAGCAGUAGGGAAUAUUGCUCAAUGGGGGAAACCCUGAAGCAGCAACGCCGCGUGGAGGAUGAAGGUUUUCGGAUUGUAAACUCCUUUUGUUAGAGAAGAAAAUGACGGGAUCUAACGAAUAAGCACCGGCUAACUCCGUGCCAGCAGCCGCGGUAAUACGGAGGGUGCAAGCGUUACUCGGAAUCACUAGGCGUAAAGAGCGCGUAGGCGGGAUAGCAAGGCAGCUGUGAAAUCCUAUGGCUUAACCGUAGAACUGCAGUUGAAAAUGUGAUUCUAGAGUAUGGGAGAGGUAGGUGGAAUUCCUGGUGUAGGGGUGAAAUGCGUAGAGAUCAAGAGGAAUACUCAUUGCGAAGGCGACCUGCUGGACCGUAACUGACGCUGAUGCGCGAAAGCGUGGGGAGCAAACAGGAUUAGAUACCCCAGUAGUC